GGAAUAUUGCGCAAUGGACGAAAGUCUGACGCAGCGACGCCUCGUGAGGGACGAAGGUCUUCGGAUUGUAAACCUCUUUCAGCAGGGACGAAGCGGAAGUGACGGUACCUGCAGAAGAAGCACCGGCUAACUAUGUGCCAGCAGCCGCGGUAAUACAUAGGGUGCAAGCGUUGUCCGGAUUUAUUGGGCGUAAAGAGUUCGUAGGCGGUUUUUCGCGUCGGAUGUGAAAACUCAGGGCUCAACCCUGAGCCUGCAUUCGAUACGGGAAGACUCGAGGACGGCAGGGGAGACUGGAACUUCUGGUGUAGCGGUGGAAUGCGCAGAUAUCAGAAAGAACACCAAUGGCGAAGGCAGGUCUCUGGGCCGAUCCUGACGCUGAGGAACGAAAGCGUGGGGAGCAAACAGGAUUAGAUACCCUGGUAGUCCACGCCGUAAACUAUGGACGCUAGGUGUGGGGGACAUUCCACGUUCUCUGCGCCGCAGCUAACGCAUUAAGCGUCCCGCCUGGGGAGUACGACCGCGAGGUUAAAACUCAAAUGAAUUGACGG
rnacentral:rRNA from 1 species